GUAGUUAGCCGGGGCUUCCUCCUUGGCUACCGUCACUUUCUUCGUCACCAAGGACAGAGGUUUACAACCCGAAAGCCUUCUUCCCUCACGCGGCGUUGCUGGGUCAGGCUUGCGCCCAUUGCCCAAUAUUCCCCACUGCUGCCUCCCGUAGGAGUCUGGACCGUGUCUCAGUUCCAGUGUGGCCGAUCAGCCUCUCAGCUCGGCUACCCAUCGUUGGCUUGGUGGGCCGUUACCUCACCAACUACCUAAUGGUACGCAAGCCCGUCUUACAGCACCGUAGUUUUUACCCCUGCACCAUGCGAUGCUGUGGUCUUAUGCGGUAUUACUCCCAGUUUCCCAGGGCUAUCCCCCUCUGUAAGGUUGGUUGCUUACGCGUUACUCACCCGUUCGCCACUGUCUGCAGAUUUAAUGCAAGCAUUAUAUCCGCUUCUCGUUCGACUUGCAUGUGUUAAGCACGCCGCCAGCGUUCGUCCUGAACCAAGAUCAAAUUCUGA
rnacentral:rRNA from 1 species